GCUGAGUCCGCUCUGGAGUGAAAUAAAGCUUGGUUUUGCCUUUGCUGAGUGAAACAGAACUUCGGUUUUGCCUUUGCUGGAUACUGAUCUGAUCGUCGCAAGUCUGGUGACCUGCUGCAGAAGAUCCUCUCUCUCUCUCUAUCAUUAUAAGCAAUUCUGUCUAUCCUAUCACUCUCCCAACUCUAUCUAAUUUGAAAGCCAUUCUAUCUUGUAUCCCUCUAUCCCUACUGCUCUAUCUAAUUUGAAAGCCAUUCUAUCUUGUAUCCCUCUAUCUCUACUGCUCUAUCUAAUUUGAAAGCCAUUCCAUCUUGUAUCCCUCUAUCUCUACUGCUCUAUCUAAUUUGAGAAUCCAAGUUUUGAGAAUCCUUUCAGAAUCCAAUUUUCAGAAAUCCAAG